UCCCUGAUGGUCUAGUGGUCAGGAUUCAGUGAUCUCGCUUUCGCAGCCUGGGUUCGAUUCCAGGUCAGGGAA